AGGAAGCGGCGCGCGCAGCGGGCGGCCGGAGCCGGGACCCCGGGCGCAGGUGCACUGGUGCCAGAGUGGCAAUCAAGGUCAAAGGCGUGUUCCUUUGAGCCCCGCACCAAAAGACUGCCUAGACUCCAAAGAGCCUUGGAGGCUAGGUCUUGGCGGAAACCUCUAAGCACUGAACAAUUUGACCUUGGGGCGUCAGUUUAAAAGGCCGUGGUUGUUCCUGAACCGGGGUGCCGAGGCUGAAUCCAAGAAAGAGCUUAGUCCUUGCCAAGGAUAUAGUGCCUCAGUUCUGGUCCAACUCACGGUCGGGGAAAGCCGUGCUGGUUAAAGAUUAAAAUCUGGAGUCCGGGCGACAAUGCCGAUCCUCAACAUUUGAGAGACUCAGCAUCAGAGGGAAUACCCACAGAGACACAAGGAGAGUGUAUCCUUCCCUCCGGAGGUGAAAGACUGUGAGAAGGUAUGAAGGAUUGGGAGUAGUGCUGGAGCACAUAAUGGAAGGAAGGGUCCCAGAGAGGUGGCUUUGCUUGCAGGAAGUGGAAGUUAGAGGGACAAACGAGGAACAGGAAGUGGGAAGAUGGCUCCUGGGACCCAUGAUCAGGCCUGAGCGGUUCAGAGCUUCGGAGAAGGCAAGGAGAUGAGCUGUGGGGCAGAAAGAUUUGCACACCUUGGGUCCCGGGACUGUCCUGCUCAGCUGAGUGGAAUACCAAACGAGGGUGUCUUGAAGCUGAGCUUCACCUCAGCCAGGCAAUCGACAGGAGAAGCAGCGAGCGAGACCGACAGACUGUCACUGGCAAAAUGAACUGUCACCUCCCAUUUUUCAGAGGCGCGGCGGGAUGAAUUGCAGCCUUGAACCGUGCGGCCCGCUGCUGAUUGAGUUCCGCUGUCUUAGAACCCCGUCGAACAAGGCGAGUUCAUUUCAGACUGACGUCCCACCGCUUAUCAAUUUAGGAGCUAGUAAAAUUAACCGCUUCGGAGCUGAUUUUCGCCCUCCCCCUGGCUCGGAUUCCACAUCCGGAAAGGUCACGAAAAUAAAUCUCUCUGGGUCCCACUAACAUAAUACGUGGUCUAGAAAUGAGGUCUCACAAGACUGAAGCCAAACAUAACCCAGGUCCCAAAGCUUACUGGGGGCCCUUUGGAGCCACCGGCCCAUGGCAAUAGUGUGACCUGCCAGACGUUUGUUAACCCUACGCCUGCACACACCAGCAACUACUGCUCCCAGGAGCCUACCAUCGGGAAGGGUUGGGUAGCAAAGGAUGAAGCUGCCUCCCAAGUUCCCCAUGACUUUCUGCAGAGAAGCGAGUAUUCCUUAUCCUCCUGUCUUCAGGUCCCUUCAUACACAUAGUGAGUAGAUGCCCAACAAAUGAUUAUAAAGCCAAAUAAGAUGGUGAUGUUUGCUAAAGCACUGGUAAUUAUUUUGAAAAGUUUAAACACAUGUGCAGGGUUUGAGGAAAAGGAGAAGGAUUAUGAUCCAGGAAAAUAUUGCUUGUCACCCGCCACUCCCCAACACAUCCCAUACCAGAAAUGGCUCCUGAGGGCAGAGCUGAACGCACACCAGAACAGCGUCUCUGUCUCCAGAAGCAAAGAGCACCUUCUGCUUUGAUUCUUCAACAUGGCUUAACUGCUCUGGAAGGCCCACAUCUGCAUCAUGGAUACCAACAGUUGUCUCAGCAUCCUUUGGCACCUCUCUUCCCCAAGGCAAAUGUCGGCAGUGUUUAUUUCCAGAAAUAGCAUCAAACCUUUUCAGGAUGGCCUGUUUUCAGCCUUGCUUGAGCUCCUGGGGCCUCUCUACCUCUUUCUGGAAGUGUCCACCUCUUUCUUAACAAGGGUAUCCCAUCUCAGAAUACAGGACACAGGUUUUCCCUUGGAAGCAGUGUGAGAAAGAAGGGCCUGCGGGCAUGCCACUGGCUUCAGACAGAAACUCCAGCAAACAUCAGGGCAGGGACCGGAUGAUUUUGCUCAGCCACGGUCUACCCCAGAGUAGCCAUCUCUGUUGCAGUUUUGUUCUCAGCCUUUUUCUAAGAGAUUUACUUCUGUG